AAGCAGUAAGUCUGCCCGAGAUCACGUGAUCCAGUGGCUUUGUCACAAACCCACAGCUGAUGCAAAGUAAAAUUGUGCAGCACGCACACUGAAGUGUCAUUCUAGUCCUGUCGGUACGAGCUAGUAAGAAUGCAGACUUGUUUUUAUCUUCUCAUUUUUCUUCACAUUGCUGAAGGUUGUAAGUUAUUGGAUAAUACACAGGUUUUCAUAACAGCAUCAUCAGGAGAGUCUGUAGUGCUGUCGUGCUCCUGCGCUGAUCCACAGGAUAGAGCACUGAAUCUCACAUGGGGAUUUAGAAAAAAGGAUACAAUUAAUUUUGAUGCCAUCUAUCCCAGUGAUGAGAUUAACCGCUACCGGGGCCGAGUUCAGCUGCUUACUGAUGACGCUCCAGGAAAUUUUACUAUCCUCAUAUCACACCUGACUGCAGAGGAUGGAGGAGAGUAUCAAUGUCGGGAAAAGAAUCAGAUCAGUAACCUAAGGCUUGUCUUCCUCACAGUAGAAGCUCCUCUAGUGCUCAGUACAACCACAGCGAGCACAGCAAGGCCGAAUGACAAACACAGCACACACUGCCUGACAUCAGGUACACGAGAUGGUAAGUUAUUUUGAUUUUUUUUGUUUAUAUAUACCCCAGGAGCCAAAUGGACACGCACGGUCGUAGCUGCGAGUUGCUAUAUAUACACCUGAGAGCAGCUACACGAGAAGUGUUGAGUAAAACCAGAGCAAGUGUGACAAAGCCAAACAACAAACACAGCACACUCCACCUGAUAUCAGCUACAAGAGAAGUUCGUCCAGAGCCUCUUCCCUUUGUCCCCUUUGCUGUGGUGACUGUGAUCUUUCUGCACAUUAUCGUGGCUGUGGUCUAUUGCAGCACCAGAAAGAAAGAUCCUGCCCGAGUUCACUACAGCACAGCUGAUGGAGAUGGAAGUGUGAAUCUGCAGUGUCGAAGCUCUACACAGGAACAGAGGAAUUGCAUUUGUGUAAAUUUAUAGUUUAUAUAUCAUGUUGUCCUUGAAUACAGAAUAUUAUUUCCUGUAAACUGUAUUAUGUAGAAGCAUGCAAAUUGUGUAGUUAACUGUGAACAUUUAAUUCUUUUUGAGCAUGGAGUAGGGGAGAGCAUUGAUAGCACAGUCCUAACAUUUUUUUUUUUGUUUAAGUUAAAUUACUUAAAGGUGCUUUAAAUUACAGAGCUCACUUUAGAUUUCUCUAGAUCUCUAGUCAAGACCAGAACCCCUAUCUCUAGAUUUUGAGUAGAGUCCAAAUCUCAGAGCCCUACAUUUCAAGUCAAGUCCAGAACGCAUAGCUUUCUAGUCUAGAUUUCCAGUCGAGUCCAGAACAUAUAGCUAAUAAUUUCGAAACAUGUUCGGAACACCUAGAUCAGGAUUUCAAAUCAAAUGCAUCACCCCUCGUUCUACAUUACCAGUCAAGUCCGGAACAGAUAGAUCAAGAUUUUGAGUCAGGUCCCAAAUCCCUAGUGCUAGAUUUCAAGUCAAGUCCGGACCCUAAAUCAAGGGUCAAGACUCUUGACAUGGUUCUGUCCACUCUACCAGAUCUGGCACUCCCUUUUUAGUGAGGUCAGUCAGAGGGCUGGUGAUGUCUUAAUAAUUAUGCACAAACUGAUACUGAUAAUAGCCUGCCAGCCCAAGAAUCUGCCUCACCUCCUUUUUGGCUUUCUGUAUCAGGCAGGCUGCAAUCACCUUCUAAUGUCCACACAAAAACGGACCAACCCGUCCACGUAGGGAACCAGGAUGAUGGGACUGGAUCACUCAUCGUGGUACUCCCCAAUUACACCUAUAUCAAGCAUAGCCUUGAGCUCCUCCCAAACCACCUGUUUCUUGUCUUCAGGUAAAUGGUAGGGGCAGCUGUGCACAACCACCCCUGGGGUAGUCUCGAUGUACUGUUCUAUGAGAUUAGUGUGGGCAGGCAGGGGUGAAAAUACCUGAGAGAACUCUGAUUACAACUGAGCAACCUUUGCUUUCAAGGGUGCUAAGAGGUGGUAUCCACAGGAGACCAGGGUGGUCACAGGGACUGCCUUGCUCCAUGGCUUUAGGAGGUUGGGGUGGUUCUUACAUUUGUAAUAUAUUGCCACCUGUCUGUUCACAACUUCGUGUGUGACCUCAAAGGCCCCUUGCCACUUUGUGAGUAAUUUGGAACUUGACGUGGGUGAUAAUACAAGCACUUUAUCUCCCAGUGAAAUCUCAGGUAGUGGAGCACCCCUAUUAUACAGAAUUAAUGUUCUUGAGCAGCAUCCCCAGAGGCUCAUUGAGGGUCAAGGUUCUGAACCUCUACCAUUGUUGUUCUGGUGUACAGCCGACCCACUGCAGAAUUGCCAUUUUGAGAUGCUGGUACACUGGCCCACUGUGAUUUUGGCCAGGCCCAUGUUACUAUAGCAUGAGAAAGAACUCCACAAAAGCCACUGGAUAGUCCUGUGGAGUCAUCUUCAUGAGGAUGAGAAUGAAGCUGGUGUAUCAGCUGACUGCAUCAGGCUCCAGAGCACUUGUCAAUUCUCUGUGUAUGCGGCCAUCACAGCCUGGAUUCCUCUAUGUUGAUCAGCACAUAGGUCAUGGAAGGCCUGAUGCUGCGCUUGGUGUAAAGCGGUGAGGAACGUGAUGACCUUCAUAUCAUAUCAGCCUCAAUCCCAGGUUUUGGCACCACUGCGACACCCUGGUGGGUAUGGAAGGGAAACGAGGACAUGGGAGGCAGGAUUUGGAGAGCACGACUUUGUUUCUCUCUUGUAACUGCCUUAAGAUUUCUUUUAUGGCUUUCUUUUAACCAGAGCAUUUUCGUCACUUCGUUCACCAACGAGAGGUGAAACGGAAAAACGCAGUGGAAAUAAUCUGCUGCAGCCCAGCAUAGACACGCUCUCAGGUCCCAUAUUUCACUGUAAAACACACAUAAAUAGACCCAUGUUAAUCACACUCAGGCAUAUUCAUUGAACUACCCACUCCUUCUCCCAGGCUCCUCCUCCUUACCAAUCACAAACAGUGCUCCAUCACGCCUCCCCCACUCGAAUGAAAGAAUUUGUAAAUAAGAGGAGGAGACCUGCAUUUUCAUCUGGUCUGAACAUGAUCUCACAAUGUUUGGUAUUGCAUGAAACCUUUCUCACAGGGAGUGCUGUUUGUUUCAUAAUUGUAUAAUUGAAUUAAGAUUUUAUUUUAAUUUAUUUUCCAGACUUGCCACUGUAUUAAAUAUUCAGCUAGCUGUAAUGAUUUGGUUUUUUUUUUCAAAUAAAGCUAGAAAGAAGUAGAAAA